UACAGAGGUCCCAAGCGUUGUUCGGAUUCAUUGGGCGUAAAGGGUGCGUAGGCGGCGCGGUAAGUCGGGUGUGAAAUUUCGGAGCUUAACUCCGAAACUGCAUUCGAUACUGCGGUGCUUGAGGACUGGAGAGGAGACUGGAAUUUACGGUGUAGCGGUGAAAUGCGUAGAUAUCGUAAGGAAGACCAGUGGCGAAGGCGGGUCGUCUGGACAGUUCCUGACGCUGAGGCACGAAGGCCAGGGGAGCAAACGGG
rnacentral:rRNA from 1 species